rnacentral:rRNA from 1 species
GACGAACGCUGGCGGCGUGCCUAAUACAUGCAAGUCGAGCGGACCUCUUCGGAGGUCAGCGGCGGACGGGUGAGUAACACGUGGGCAACCUGCCUGUAAGACUGGGAUAACACCGGGAAACCGGUGCUAAUACCGGAUAAUCCUUUUUCUCACAUGAGAAGAAGCUGAAAGACGGUUUCGACUGUCACUUACAGAUGGGCCCGCGGCGCAUUAGCUAGUUGGUGGGGUAACGGCCCACCAAGGCGACGAUGCGUAGCCGACCUGAGAGGGUGGUCGGACACACUGGGACUGAGACACGGCCCAGACUCCUACGGGAGGCAGCAGUAGGGAAUCUUCCGCAAUGGACGAAAGUCUGACGGAGCAACGCCGCGUGAGCGAAGAAGGCCUUCGGGUCGUAAAGCUCUGUUGUCAGGGAAGAACAAGUGCCGGAGUAACUGCCGGCACCUUGACGGUACCUGACCAGAAAGCCACGGCUAACUACGUGCCAGCAGCCGCCGUAAUAC